rnacentral:rRNA from 1 species
GACGAACGCUGGCGGCGUGCUUAACACAUGCAAGUCGAACGGAAAGGCCCUGCUUGCAGGGUACUCGAGUGGCGAACGGGUGAGUAACACGUGGGUGAUCUGCCCUGCACUUCGGGAUAAGCCUGGGAAACUGGGUCUAAUACCGGAUAGGAGCCAUUUUUAGUGUGAUGGUUGGAAAGUUUUUUCGGUGUAGGAUGAGCUCGCGGCCUAUCAGCUUGUUGGUGGGGUAAUGGCCUACCAAGGCGGCGACGGGUAGCCGGCCUGAGAGGGUGGACGGCCACAUUGGGACUGAGAGACGGCCCAGACUCCUACGGGAGGCAGCAGUGGGGAAUAUUGCACAAUGGGCGCAAGCCUGAUGCAGCGACGCCGCGUGGGGGAUGACGGCCUUCGGGUUGUAAACUCCUUUCGCUAGGGACGAAGCUUUUUGUGACGGUACCUAGAUAAGAAGCACCGGCUAACUACGUG